rnacentral:rRNA from 1 species
GAGUGAGGCCACUCGGUGGUCAAAUAAGCCUCAAGUUAUGUGUGACAACCCCCUGAUUUUAAACCAUAA